rnacentral:rRNA from 1 species
GGGCCCGCACAAGCAGCGGAGCAUGUGGUUUAAUUCGAAGCAACGCGAAGAACCUUACCUAGACUUGACAUCUCCUGAAUUACCCUUAACCGGGGAAGUCGGUACCUUUGGUAUCGACAGGAAGACAGGUGGUGCAUGGUUGUCGUCAGCUCGUGUCGUGAGAUGUUGGGUUAAGUCCCGCAACGAGCGCAACCCUUAUUGUUAGUUGCUACCAUUUAGUUGAGCACUCUAGCGAGACUGCCCGGGUUAACCGGGAGGAAGGUGGGGAUGACGUCAAAUCAUCAUGCCCCUUAUGUCUAGGGCUACACACGUGCUACAAUGGCAAGUACAAAGAGACGCAAGACCGUGAGGUGGAGCAAAUCUCAAAAACUUGUCCCAGUUCGGAUUGUAGGCUGAAACUCGCCUACAUGAAGCCGGAGUUGCUAGUAAUCGCGAAUCAGCAUGUCGCGGUGAAUACGUUCCCGGGCCUUGUACACACCGCCCGUCACACCAUGAGAGUUGGCAAUACCCGAAGUCUGUGAGCUAACCCGUAAGGGAGGCAGCAGCCGAAGGUAGGGUCAGCGAUUGGGGUGAAGUCGUAACAAGGUAGCCGUAGGAGAACCUGCGGCU